UAUAUCGGCCAUACCACCCUGAACGCACCCGAUCUCAUCUGAUCUCGGAAGCUAAGCAGGGUCGGGCCUGGUUAGUACUUGCAUGGGAGAACCCCUUUCUAUCUUACCAAUUUUUUGAUAGUU
rnacentral:rRNA from 1 species